AAUCUUUCGCAAUGGGCGAAAGCCUGACGCAGCAACGCCGCGUGCGGGACGAAGGCCUNCGGGUUNUNAACCGCUUUCAGCAGGGNCGAUGAUGACGGUACCUGCAGAAGAAGCCCCGGCCCCCUACGUGCCACCAUCCGCGGUAACACGUAGGGGGCGAGCGUUUUCCGGAUUUAUUGGGCGUAAAGAGCUCGUGGGAGGCUGGGUAAGUCAGGGGUGAAAACUUCAGGCUCAACCUGGAGAAGCCACUUGAUACUGCCAUGGCUAGAGUCCGGUAGGGGAGCAUGGAAUUCCUGGUGUAGCGGUGAAAUGCGCAGAUAUCAGGAGGAACACCAGUAGCGAAGGCGGUGCUCUGGGCCGGAACUGACGCUGAGGAGCGAAAGCGUGGGUAGCAAACAGG
rnacentral:rRNA from 1 species